AUUGAACGCUGGCGGCAUGCCUUACACAUGCAAGUCGAACGGCAGCACGGGUGCUUGCACCUGGUGGCGAGUGGCGAACGGGUGAGUAAUACAUCGGAACAUGUCCUGUAGUGGGGGAUAGCCCGGCGAAAGCCGGAUUAAUACCGCAUACGAUCUACGGAUGAAAGCGGGGGACCUUCGGGCCUCGCGCUAUAGGGUUGGCCGAUGGCUGAUUAGCUAGUUGGUGGGGUAAAGGCCUACCAAGGCGACGAUCAGUAGCUGGUCUGAGAGGACGACCAGCCACACUGGGACUGAGACACGGCCCAGACUCCUACGGGAGGCAGCAGUGGGGAAUUUUGGACAAUGGGCGAAAGCCUGAUCCAGCAAUGCCGCGUGUGUGAAGAAGGCCUUCGGGUUGUAAAGCACUUUUGUCAGGAAAGAAAUCCUUGGCUCUAAUACAGUCGGGGGAUGACGGUACCGGAAGAAUAAGCACCGGCUAACUACGUG
rnacentral:rRNA from 1 species